AUUGAACGCUGGCGGCAUGCUUUACACAUGCAAGUCGAACGGUAACAGGGAGCUUGCUCCGCUGACGAGUGGCGAACGGGUGAGUAAUGCGUCGGAACGUGCCGAGUAGUGGGGGAUAACGCAGCGAAAGUUGUGCUAAUACCGCAUACGUACUGAGGUAGAAAGUGGGGGACCUUCGGGCCUCACGCUAUUCGAGCGGCCGACGUCUGAUUAGCUAGUAGGUGAGGUAAAGGCUCACCUAGGCGACGAUCAGUAGCGGGUCUGAGAGGAUGAUCCGCCACACUGGGACUGAGACACGGCCCAGACUCCUAUGGGAGGCAGCAGUGGGGAAUUUUGGACAAUGGGCGAAAGCCUGAUCCAGCCAUGCCGCGUGUCUGAAGAAGGCCUUCGGGUUGUAAAGGACUUUUGUCGGGGAGGAAAUCCCCAGCGUUAAUACCGCUGGGGGAUGACAGUACCUGAAGAAUAAGCACCGGCUAACUACGUGCCAGCCGCCGCAGUAAUAC
rnacentral:rRNA from 1 species